UAUGCUCCUUUCAGAGUUCCCGCUCUUCCUUCUUUUAGUUUCCCUCUCUUUUUCAUCUGUCAAAGUAUUCAGGACUCAAUUGGAGAAGAAAAAAUAAAAAAUUAUAGAAAUCUUAUCUCUAUUGUACUUGAGAUUUCCUAUCUCACUAAUCUGUCAUUUUCAUCUUACUCUCUCACAUUUUCACUAUCUCUUUAUCUCCACCUCUUCUGCAUCUCCUUAUCACUUUACAGUCGGAUCCGGUUCCUCUCCUGCCAAUCUCUCUCCGGCUUCUCACCGCACACGGCCGUUGAAGCUCAUGACCGCCGUCUCCGCCAAGGACCCAAACGUCGUCGCGUCUCAUCGUUCUAGCACCGCUCUCGGCGCUGGCCUGCUCACGACCGCCAUAUCCUUCAAAACGACUACCCCUGGUUUCCAAUUUCAAAUUUAGGAACACGAAACAUGUAACAUUGUACAAGAGGAAUGCAGAUUGUCUUGGCAUUUUAGAUUUUUUGUGGUUGUACCAGAGGACAUGACUAGAUGAAGAGUAGUACCUCGCACGCAAAAAGGGUUUUCUGUGAUACUUUCAGACAUGUCCAUCGGUUUCUGGAAUCACAAUUGGCAGUGCUGCUUCUUCUGUUCAAGCUUCAGCUGAUGAUGAUGAUGAUUAUAUUCGGGAGGAGCAAAGUGUUGAUGAUCCAUCCGGUUCAAAUGAUAAGGGAGUCUUGCAAGUUGGAGGGAACCUUAUUAUAAAGAUUUUGGAGAGUGAAGAUUCCAAAGAAAUCAGUCAGAUUUGUAAACCAUUAUUUAGAAAGUCAUCAUAGCUGAGGCCUAAAGCCACAAGACCUUCCUCAAGAGAGAUCUAUUUGAUAUGUCAUGGUUUAAAGCCAGACGCAAAGACAUAGGUUGUUUUAUACGAUAUUCUUUGUCUGGGUGAACAUUAGGGAUGAACAGCAUACAAAACUCACCUUCUCCUUUAUUUUUUUAUGUUCAUUUUCAUUACUAUAUUUGUGCUUGAUUUUGUUAAAAGGGUGUUCUACUUUUGGGCUCUACUAUGGUCAUGGGAUAUUUUCUAUUCUUAAUUUAAUUAUAAUAAACUACUUUUAAGAUCAGUCGGGGACCAUAUAAGAGACUAUCAAUUUUUUUACCUUGUGCUCAAACUGGAUUUUCUAAUAUUUUUGUUAUGAUCUUAUGUUCCUGAUUUAAUUUAUACCAUUUUAAACUUAAAUUAGCAGGAUCUGUUGCAACAAUGGGUAAGAACCAUUUGUGAGUUUAGUGACAUAAUUUGAUUGUCACCUUGGUUUCAAUUGUGCAUGACAUUCAUUUGUUUCUUGCCUUGUUUACUUUGUGUUUUCCUGAAUGAUUUUCUUGUUUGCUGUCUGACAAGUUUUUAGUUUCAGGCACACUAGUUGUUCAAUAAAAUAGGAUAAAUGUGCGAAAACAAGAAUCAUGAAGGUGAAAGAGCAACCCGUUUUAGGCUGAGUAGCACCUUAUUGAAUCGCACCUCCAAUAUUUUGUUCAUUGUGAGAGGUCCAUUUGAAAAAUCUGGGAAUUUUUACAUUAUUCCUUCGAUUUGGUGAGAUUAAUUGAUUGCUUUAAAGAAGUCAAUUUAUGAGACUGGGCAUUCAAGGGAGUUUGAGUGAUUUGGUUACCGAGGUAUAUGGACUAUGUAGUGGAUUAUCUUUCACAAAUCGUACCGACUGUCUAGCGCAAGUUGAUCCAGGUUUCUCCUUCCUCGACCUUUCACAUUUUUUUAUGUGAAUUUAAUUUACAUUAUGAAUUCUUUAUUGAUUUGGGUUUGUGGAAAGUUCAGGACUUUCAUGUUUUAACCAUGUGAUGUGACCAAUUGCAAUGAGUAAUGUUCAAAAUCACUCUUUGUCAUCAAAUGUUGGCACAUCAAAUUUGCGAUUGAAAUUUAAGAAACGUGAACUUUACUACGUAAUGCAUCCAAAUGGUAAAGCUCUUAAUUCAUUGUUGAUUUUUCUUUGGCCAUUCUCAUGAUUUGGUACUGUUAAAUUGUGCUAUUAACUUUUGGAUUUUCUAUAGUGAUUGUGCAUGUUUUGUCUUUAUCUACUUUCUUCUUUCAUCUGUUUGUUGGCUACUUAGAUAUAUGACAUACUCCUCUUUUCUCAGAAUCAAUUAAUUUCCACACAUGCGCAUAGUGUGCUACUUGUUUCUAAUUUUGUUUCAUUGACUCCAUGUUCUGUGGUGCUAAAAUUAACUUGUGGCAGUUUGUAGGAGGAAAAAGGGUGGAUGGUUUCGUGUCUGAGAUCAUUUGGUCAUGCUAAUAUUAACUGUUUAAUAGGGAGGAUAAAGGAUAAAUUGUAAUGUUGUUUGGAAUGAAGGAGGAUAAAUUGUAAUGAAGGAGAUUGACAUCUGGUAUUGAUUGUAUUUGUUUAGAUUUGGUAAAGUGGCCAGAAAUUUCCUUUAGAUCAGAAAAGUAGAAAUGAAAGGUAGAGUGGAUCGUCCACAUUCACUGAGUGCAUGUUUGUAAAUUUAAAAGAUUUUCUCAUUUGGGGGUUAAAUGAUUCUGGAAGAAGCUAUUAGAAGUAAUUCUUACAUAGGGAAAAAUGAUCAUGAGAGAGUUAAAGUAGAUCCAAACAUGGUGAAAAUUAGCUAUAUGUAUUACAGAGGAAAACAUUUUGAGGAUUGACCGAUAAAAUUAAAUUAUCGCCUGAUAAUCCCAAUACAAGCAACCAGGAAACUCUAUAAAUGUCUAUACCAGCUUUUUCAUUUCUAAGUAUCUAGGAGAAUUAAAUUUAGUAGGUAUACGCAUAAUGUACAAUAUUGUUUUAAUUGCACUAACAGUACAAAAAAGAAGAAAUUGUUUGUUAUGGAAUACUGGCUUAACUUUUCCUUCAAUGAUUUUCAUAAUAAAGUACAAAAAAAAUGUGGAUUCCAUACAUUAAUUCAUUUGUGGGGCACUAUGAUCUAUUUGACUAUAGUAUAAGGAUCCAUCUCACACAUAACAUUACAUGUGCACAUUUCAUAUUAGAUGAUUUAGUUUCUAGCUUACUUUUUAAUAUUAUCAGUGUUACUUUUUAAUGGCUUACUUCAUUUUUGAGUCACUUGGUAUUCCAGUUCUACUGAGCUAGGUGUAUAUAACUUUGCUGUUUUUCACUGUUUCAUGGUGCAGAAAUUAGACCUAACACAACUAAGCCUUUGGAUUCUGAGUGUUUUUCCUCAAAAACUUGUGCUUCCUAGCCAAUUAUAUUUGCUUCAUUUUUUUUAUUCUCAACUAAUUGGAUCAAUUGCAUGAUUUAGUGAAGUUACAACCCUGAUUAUUUGUUCCAGCCUUGGAACCACCUCGAAAAAUGAAUUUUGUCACUGACAUUCCUCCAGUCAGUGUUGAGAAAAAUAUUUUUUUCUUCUCUUUUGAUGCCAAUCCUAUCUCUAUGUAAAACCUUUAAUAUAAAAUUUUGUUUCUAAUACACUACUAUCAUGUUUUUAUAUUGAUGUCCUGUUCCUUUUUCAUCUACCAUAGGUGCUAGUCAUUUACUCAAGCAUCUCUAUGCAAAUUAGAAGGUCGACAGUUUCAUAAUCCAUUAUUUUUGCUACUCAUAAUAAUUAUGUUCUUUGAAAAUUUGUUCGAUUUCCACAUUUUGAGUAGCUUUUUCUCCUUUGAGGCUAAGAGUGUGUUUGGAUGGAGGAUUGUAAAAAUCCAAUGGAUUUUAAAUGCUAGGGAAUUCAAUCAAUUGAAUUCCCUUGAUUUUCAAAUUCCCUUGUUUGGAUAAGGUGAUGCAAUUCCCUCAAUUGAAAAUUCCUUGUUUGGGUAAUGUAAUUAAAUUUCCUUUAUCUUAUUUUUUUAAUCUAAUUAAUAUUAUUUGAAUAAUUAUAAUAAAAAAACUUAACUUAAAAUCAGCCC